rnacentral:rRNA from 1 species
AUUGAACGCUGGCGGCAUGCUUUACACAUGCAAGUCGAACGGUAACAGGUCUUCGGAUGCUGACGAGUGGCGAACGGGUGAGUAAUGCAUCGGAACGUGCCCAGUCGUGGGGGAUAACGCAGCGAAAGCUGCGCUAAUACCGCAUACGAUCUAUGGAUGAAAGCGGGGGACCGUAGGGCCUCGCGCGAUUGGAGCGGCCGAUGUCAGAUUAGGUAGUUGGUGGGGUAAAGGCCCACCAAGCCAACGAUCUGUAGCUGGUCUGAGAGGACGACCAGCCACACUGGGACGGAGACACCGCCCAGACUCCUACGGGAGGCAGCAGUGGGGAAUUUUGGACAAUGGGCGCAAGCCUGAUCCAGCAAUGCCGCGUGCAGGAAGAAGGCCUUCGGGUUGUAAACUGCUUUUGUACGGAACGAAACGGCCCUCUCUAAUACAGAGGGCUAAUGACGGUACCGUAAGAAUGAGCACCGGCUAACUACGUGCCAGCCGCCGCGGUAAGAC